CUCCAUGCUCCAUGCUCCAUGCUCCAUGCUCCAUGCUCCUGUCCCGUUUGAUGUCCUUGAAUGAAGCUACUGUGUGAGAGCAAUAGAUAUGUUUCAAAAUGUAAUCUACCAAUAAUCAGAUCUCAUAAAGAGACCAGCCCCAGAAAUGUGGUAAUCUUUCUCUCAAUAUUCUGACUUUACUACUCGGUCCCUGGCACUCAGACCUGAGCCCACUGAUUCCUUCUGAAGAUGUUACCCUAUCUACAAUACAUGUACAGGGCAUUUCCAGAUAAUUGAAGAUCAGGAAAAUACUUUUUCUCUUUUUGUACAAGCUACGGUAUUAAUAAUAAAAGACAGAAGAUGAUCAAA